rnacentral:rRNA from 1 species
UGGGGAAUAUUGCACAAUGGGCGCAAGCCUGAUGCAGCCAUGCCGCGUGUAUGAAGAAGGCCUUCGGGUUGUAAAGUACUUUCAGCGGGGAGGAAGGGAGUAAAGUUAAUACCUUUUCUCAUUGACGUUACCCGCAGAAGAAGCACCGGCUAACUCCGUGCCAGCAGCCACGGUAAUACGGAGGGUGCAAGCGUUAAUCGGAAUUACUGGGCGUAAAGCGCACGCAGGCGGUUUGUUAAGUCAGAUGUGAAAUCCCCGGGCUCAACCUGGGAACUGCAUCUGAUACUGGCAAGCUUGAGUCUCGUAGAGGGGGGUAGAAUUCCAGGUGUAGCGGUGAAAUGCGUAGAGAUCUGGAGGAAUACCGGUGGCGAAGGCGGCCCCCUGGACGAAGACUGACGCUCAGGUGCGAAAGCGUGGGGAGCAAACAGG